UACAGAGGCCUCGAGCGUUGUUCGGAAUUACUGGGCGUAAAGGGAAUGUAGGUGGUCAUGUAAGUCAGAUGUGAAAGCCCUAGGCUUAACCUGGGAAGUGCAUUUGAUACUGCGUGGCUGGAGUGCGAGAGAGGAAAGCGGAAUUCCAGGUGUAGGAGUGAAAUCCGUAGAUAUCUGGAGGAAUACCGAUGGCGAAGGCAGCUUUCUGGCUCGUAACUGACACUGAGAUUCGAAAGCUCGGGUAGCAAACAGG
rnacentral:rRNA from 1 species